AGAGCUCGGCACGUGCUGGGCACAGUGUGGGCAACUUGAUCCCCUCCUGCAGGAUGCGCAGUGGAUCCUGCGGAGUGGCAGCUGUCCUAUGGAGAAGAUGCUGCAGAAGAAGGUGCUGGAUAAUGUCAGAGCUAGAUAUUGACAGCUGGCCAGGCGUGGCUCCCCAGGUGACAACAUGGACAUAGAGAAGCAGGGAGAUGUGAAAUUGGAUGACUUCCCCAGCUACAAGGACUCUGGGAUUCCACCUGGUUCGCCUGAACAAUCAGAAUGACCCUCCUAUCCAAGGUCCUCGGUCACAUCUGUGAAGCCUCUUUUACCAGUGACCAGAGGAGAUGAGUCAGGGCACAUCAUUACCUCCUUCACCGCCCUGGCUCACCAUCACACCCAGGUGUUUCCCCAGUCACCCGAAGAUGUGGCCCUGCUCCCCACGUGCACAGAUGGACUUCUACAGAACCAAGGAAUUGACCAUCCUGUUUCCAACAAUAUCUCCAGCACAUGGCAAAUUUCCAGCCCAAUCCGUGCUUCACUUUCUGGCCAGGAACAAUGAAGAGCUGGGUUCCAGGGUGGAGGCCCUGGGCUGGACAGGAGGGGUUUUCCUGUCACCCAUCCCUUGCUGAGAGACAACAGGAAGGAGGAGCUGAUCCUGAAGAGACACCUGGAUGGCCAGUCCUGCCUCUGAUGAGUGAUGGUCCUUCAGACCUUUCCUGUCCCCUCUACCUCUUCCGGUGGCCUUUGUGUUUUCAUUGUCUCAAAGUUAUAUCUGGCCCAUCCUUUCUCCUAUGCUGUUCUCGCUUUUCUCUCCUAUUGGCUGAGGACUCAGGGGACCAGACCACUGCCACAAGGGCAGACAAACAGGAGGUGCCGGCCCCGGCAGGCCCAGCUGUUUCCUGGGCUGUCCUGGCUGUCUUCCAGUGGCCCAAACCUGUCUUCCUCUGUGUGCUGCACCUGGCCAUCUCAGGGACCCAUCCACAGGGCCACUCACAGCCUCAUUUAUUUACUUAACAUUUCAGGUUUAAAUGAGUCUGGGCAUCAGGGGCUGGGUCAGGACAGUGAGAAGAUGAGCAGCCUCCUUUCUGAUCUGGAAAAACAGCCACAAUCACCAGAAUCGGGCUGUGAGGUUUCGGAGAGACUUGGGUGCUGUGAGGACAAAGAGAGAAACAAGUGGAGCUGGGACACAAGUGGGGGUGGCCGUUUCUGACCUGGUGGCUGAGGACAGCCUCUUGGAGAGAGCACAAAUGGCCAAGACCCACAUGUUGGUGGAAGGUGGCUUAGGAACGUGGGAUCCUGCAAACAUUGGGAGAAAUGCGCACCCCUCUACUCCUGGCGACCAGCUCUGGUGCCAAGAGGUGGCAAGGACACGCUGGUGGUGCAGACAUGCUGGCCACUCCUCCUUGGAGCAUGAGGUACUCAGCCUACAUCAUUCUGUCCCAUUCAGGGACAAGGAAGUAUCGGGAGCUUUAGAAAAAAAUCUGAGCUAGAGUCCAAGACUUCACAGAGCAGAAUCUUGCUGGAAUGAAUUGACUCCUGGGAGGAAUUGGUCCCUAUCUGUGAUGGUGACUCCCUCUCUUUGCCCUUUGGGGAUUCUGUUUAUAAUCCAAAAGGCCUGAGCUGGAAGCCUGCUCAUGCAGGUUCCAAUUCAGGCCACACAGCCAGUGAGGGAUGGUGGGGACUUCCAGGUCUCCCUGCCCCAGUUUAGGGGCAGGUCCCUGGAUUCAGCAGACAAAGGCUUAGGAGAAUGGAAAGGGAGGAGCUCUGGGGAACAUGACUCAGCUGUCGCCUCCAAGGACAGUUGGAACAUUGGGUCACUGGGGCCAGCAUGAUGGGGAAGAGCUUGGAGAUGGGACAGGCCACAAUCCCAUAGCCCCAGGCUUGUUGUGUCCUGGGGAGACUCCCUGAUUCCCAGCUGCUGGGAUUAAUGAGAAUUUAUCUCUCAGGCAGGGUCUGGCCUCAGGCAGGGUCUGACCUCAGGGAGGGACAGAGUGGCUGGUGCAUCAAGCCGAAGAAGGCGGCCCAUGUGUGUUGGGGGUGAGGUGCUUAGUAUGUUGGCUGUUGGGUCCCAAUGUGGAGGGAGAUGAGCAGAGGCCUGACCCAGCUUCCCACAGACAGGACCUGCUCAUUUCUUCAGGAUACUCAGGGAGCAAGGGGUUUUUUGCUCAUGGGAACCCCCCCCACACACACACACCAACACAGCAGUAUGAAGGCCUUUCAGUUUGCAAGAUUGUUGCCGCUCACUAGCAGCUGUGUCUCUGACAAGGUGCCUAUCCCAUGCUGUCACAGAACCGCAUGUGGGCAGGGAGGGUACACACACCCGUGAGCAGGGCUGGACAGUUAGACUCCAGAGUGAGGAGGAACCCACAGGUGGCAUCCCAUCCUCACCUGCUGUACUCACUUCAGAAAUCCCCUCCACACUGUCUCUGACCUCCGUCUCCCAGGAUGAGUCACUUGCCUCCUGUGACAGGAAACAUGAUCCCUCCACAGGCAGCUGCUACCUGGUGGGAAGUGCUAAGGUCAGAAGGGGCUUCCUUCCACCUCUCACAGCCCAGCCCACCGGAGGGGACAGGAUCACUGCAGCCAGCCUUGUCCAGGGAACUCCUGCCACGUGAAUCCUGUCUCCCCAGUGAGAUGGGAGUCUCCCCAGGACAGAGGCCCCUUUUUGACACUGAGCAGUAGAGGAAAAGUGCUCUGAAGGGAGCGUAGCCCAUGGUAAGAAACUGUCAGCUGUUCUCAUAAGAGACACUGUUCUCCCUGCCCCGUCACCAUCUGCCAUAGCUGAGAGUGUGCCUCCCGCUGGCAGGCAGCAGCACAGGGCACAGGGCACAGGGCACAGGGCUGCAGGGUCUUUGCCUCGGGCACCACUACGAGCAUUUAAGUGCGAAACUCUGGUCAAGUCCUCACUUUACAGGUGAAUAAACUGAAGCAGAGAGAGAAAAUAAUUGAGAUUGUACAGUGGCAGAGACAGGCAGUCCGUGUUAGUCUGUGCUCCCAACAACCCAACUACCUCGGGCACUCCUGAGAAAGAUUUGACCUCGGGGGUCCACGUGACACAAGGGUGCAUCCUGGAGACCUGCUCCCCGGCCAGAUAUCUUAGGGCUGUUGGGAGUUGAGAUGUCACUGGACCCAUUUUCCUGUCCCCAGGUGUCCUGGAAGUCCAAAAGUGGCUUUUUGCACACGGUGACUUUGUCUCAUGUCCCCUGUCCUUCUGGCGAGCUGUGAAUGGGAGGAGCUUCAGAUGAGAACACAUCAGUGUCAUUCCUAGGAGAGGAGACCAAGAACAGAGGCAGUCCAGCUCGGGACACAUGCCCCCAUCACUGUGACCGCGCAUCUCGCCUGCAGUCACUGCCAUGUUGAUGCCAUCAGCAGCCCCCGACCACGCACACGCGCACAUGCACAAGUGCACACGAUAUUAAAGUCGUAUUUUUGGUUGCUGGGAAGGUUCGGUUGUCAUUUCCUCUGCCCUCGGCAACCCGCUGGCCCAGCUCCCCUUUUUCUUCCCCGCCCCACUGUGGAGCACCAUCCAUUUGUAUUUAUAUAGAUAAAUCGGCCUGCUAAUUAAAGUUCUGUUGCUGGAGAGUGAGGGAAUUAAUAAAAGAACUUGGAAGGGAGCCAACUGAAUGCUGGGGCGCAGGGAGCCGGAGCUGAACCCACAGCAGCAAAGGAGGCCAGAGGGUCCAGUGCAUGUGGGAGCCGCCCUACCUCCCCCAGGAGCCCAGGGCUCAGGGCCCAGGAAUGAGGACACGGCACCACACGAUGAGCUCUUUCCUUCCUUCCUUCCUUCCUUCCUUCCUUCCCUCACGGUGUUUCCUGCUGGGAUGCCCCGUGUGUUUUCUCUUACCCUCAGGAGGUGGCUGCAGGCCAAGCAGAGGUAGUGGGAGGAGGUUUGAUUGACAGCAACCAGGAGGACCAUCAUGGCAGUGCUUCGGGGUAAGAGGCAGCCAGGGGCUGAGACUCAGUCACAGAACACCCACCUGUGCGUCCUGACUCUGCCACUUAUAGCUGGUGGCUCUGGAUAAGUCAUUUAACCACUGUGUGCCUGAAUUUACAUCUGUAGCUAUCAGGGGCAGAGGCUAGGAUAGGACCAAAAGAGGACACUAAGACUGCAGCUGAGCAGGGGGGAAAGGAGGGAAGAGAAGGGACUUCGCAUUACUCCCAGGAAAGGAACGAUCCUGGGCUAAGUCCUGGCUGCUCUGUUGAGCAGCUGUGGGACCCCAGGAGACCCUCCUACCUUCUCUGACUCAACUGCCACAGCCGAGGCACAGAGCUCCUGCUCGCAGGGCCUCAGAUAGCCUGGCAUGCACAGGGCACACUCAGAGGUGUCAUGGAAACAAGAGCUCAAGACAGGUUUUUCUGGGUCGCUGAGCCCUCCUUUGCUUCUCCCCUAGGCCGUUUGGGCUUCAGAGAUGGGCUGCAGACAGCAAACCCUAGUGUUAAGGCAGUGCACUGGUCUGAGGAGAGCAGGAGCGGCCAGCGCUAUUCUUAGCCAGGGUCCCAUCACGUGUGGACAAGCUUGUCACGAGCGAGGAGGAAAGAAGGGAGGAGCUGCUGGGUUUAACCCUGAACUGGCCAGGAUGCCGCAAAGACCUGGAGAAGAGCUCAUUGCUCCUAGGGGAAGAGGGCGUGGCUACGCUGCAGGGCCUGUCAGACAGGCCACUCUCAGGGACACUCAUGAUGGACACCCAUCUUUGUUAUUGGUGGAUGCAAUAACAAAGACCCAGGAAGGCUCAGCCUGUCACUCUAGGAGGAUAUGCACAGAAUCCUGGGAGGAAUUAGGAGACCAAAUUCAGUCCUGUAUCUACCACACAUGUGCUGUGUGACUGGGGAACAGGCAGAGCCCUUCUUUGGCCCUUGGUCUUCAAAUAAGACACAACUCUGUGAACCCUCUGUUUCUGCAUUUGGUGACCUGGAUGCCACAGCUUGGACUCCAACAAGGCCCUCAGCCCUGGAUGAACUCAUGUCUCCUGCAGGCUUCCCAGGAUCCUGCUUUUUCCCCAUGUGCCCUGUGUGUACUACCUAGUUUUAAGGGACUAGGACAUGGGAUUGACUCUUCUGGUGGCACUGGAUGGGAUGAAUCAAGAUGGAAAGCUGAGGUCACCUGGACAAGGAAGAGCAGGCCCAGGAGCUACACAGGCUGAGCGCCUGUGUGGGCAGCAAGCACCUGUGUGGACACCCAUGAGCUGCUCCCUGCAACUGGCUGGAGUCUCCGCCUCUGUAUGUCCCAGUCUCGGGGGCCCAGUGGAGCUGUCAUUCCUGAAGGCCAGGCACCACGCUCUCUCCUCCUGUUACCUCAGGAUGCACCCAGCAGGGUCCCCUUGGGCUCAGCCAGGGCCUGCUCAGGGUUCAGCCAUGCAGCAGAGCCAACCCUGAACCAGUCUCCACUCACCAGCCCUGGUCUUGUGAGUCACUUGUUUCCUUUGUAAUUAAUCACUCCUGGUCUCCAGUGGUGACGUUCCCUCCCCCAGACCAUUUGCCUAAAGAAAUGAAUUGCAUUGAUGAGAAAAACCAAA